GACGAACGCUGGCGGCGUGCUUAACACAUGCAAGUCGAACGGAAAGGCCUGCUUUCCCUUGUGGAUUGCGGGUACUCGAGUGGCGAACGGGUGAGUAACACGUGAGUGAUCUGCCCCCAACUUGGGUAUAAGCCUGGGAAACUGGGUCUAAUACCCGAUAGGACUGCAGGGUGGUGCCUGUGGUGGAAAACGAUUUUCUAGUGGUUGGGGAUGAGCUCGCGGCCUAUCAGCUUGUUGGUGGGGUAAUGGCCUACCAAGGCGGCGACGGGUAGCCGGCCUGAGAGGGUGGACGGCCACAUUGGGACUGAGAUACGGCCCAGACUCCUACGGGAGGCAGCAGUGGGGAAUAUUGCACAAUGGGCGGAAGCCUGAUGCAGCGACGCCGCGUGGGGGAUGACGGCCUUCGGGUUGUAAACUCCUUUCGACCGCGAGGAAGCCACCUGGUUGGAAGGGUGGUGACGGUAGUGGUAGAAGAAGCACCGGCUAACUACGUG
rnacentral:rRNA from 1 species